GUGAGUGUAGCUCAGCUUGGUAGAGCGCUGGAUUGUGGCUCCAGUGGCCGAGGGUUCGAAUCCCUCCACUCACCCCA
rnacentral:tRNA from 1 species